CUAGCUCUGUAGCUGCGCACAGCAACAAGAUCCUCUUGUUUGAAGGUAUUUUGACAUACAAAAAGGUAGAGGAAGAACUGCAGCCAACACAAAGCAAAGAAAUGCAACACUCACGCUCCAACAAUGCUGACGCUGCCUUCCCUUUCAGGAUUUCCCAGACACUUCACUCUGCCAGCUCGCUCAUAGAAAGAGGCUAAACGGGCACCAAGGUAGGCUGGAUAACCACUGUCUGCAAGUAUCAACGUACAGAAAUAGAGUCAAAAGCUCUGAGUUUAAAGGAUGUCUUCACAAGUCUAGACGAAGAAAAGAACAACUCACCAGCUGGCAUUUCAGCCAGUCGUCCCGAAAUUUCUCUGAGGGCCUCAGCCCAUCGGGAAGUAGAGUCUGCCAUCAUACUGACAUGGUAGCCCAUGUCUCGGAAAUACUCCGACAGGGUGAUUCCUAGAACAAAUACAGCAGCACAGUGCAGGAUAGUGUUGGAAAAGGAAUUCUACCCUCACAUGCUGUCAUUAAGAGGCAAACAAGUUAAGUUAUUUAUGUUUCAGUCUUUACUGACAUCAGACUGUAAAGGUACUAUUCCUUUCCACAAGCCCAUGAUGGAUUUUUGUUUGUUUGUUUUUGUUUUUUUGUUUAUUUCAUUCCACUCUUCUCAUUUUUGCUUACAAACCACCCUGACAAAUCUUAUGUUCCUGCCUAUUUCUUUGAGGAGACAGGGCAAUAUCACUGACACUCCUAUUUGCCUCACGAAGGCUCUUCUUAUUGUAAAAUGUCUCCUUCCUUUCUAAGCCACCAGAACAUAAAGAUGUUUUAUCUGACAGCUUUUCAUGAAGAAGUAUUAAGAAAAAAAAAAUCCUCUGAGAGGCUGCAGUGGAAAAAAGAGUAUUUCUGAGAGAGCACUAUUUCUACCCAUUGAGAAGCUGUACCUGUCAGCAAAAAGCUACUCAUGAAGAACAUAAGAUUACAUAAUUAAUACAUGGGGCAAAACUACAGGAGACCCAGUGUGGUUUCUUACAUAUGAGCAGACAGAAUAUGACUUACGGGAAGAGGGCAUCUAGCACCCGUUGGCCAGUUAACAAAGGAUGAUUCGCUGGUAACUUUUCAGUCACAGGACGGACUUGACGUACAGGCCAGACUUGGACCAUAGUGAACUUUUCCUUCACACCUUCAAACUCCAGCUCUAAGACAACAUCCUAACAAAGAGCACCAGACAUCUGAAGUGAGCCAACAAGUGCACAGUGGAUCAGCACGCAAAUUCUCACCUCAACUGCUCCGCGCUGCUAGGACUUCAGUAGGACCAUGGAUUUUGCAGAACUUAACACCCUAUCGUCCCCCACUGAGGAAAAGCAUGUUUCCACAUUUACAAUAUGAUCGGGGAACUUUUCAUAUUCAUCGGAUACUGUAGAUGCCCACACAGGACAAUAAAUACGGCAUACUUAAGUGCCACUGGGAAGUCACAUACAUAGAAAGUAACUGCACGAGAAAAAACUACAUAAUCCCCGCUGGCAAGGCAGCAGAAGUGAUCAGCUUUGUGGUCUUUUCCAACCUUAAUGAUUCUAUGAUACUUUCAACUCUGACACCCUGUUGCACGAAAGGCUUUGAAGGUGGCAUCUCACAGAAGAGAAAGGGGUCCUGCAACCUUACAAAAGAAACAUGGAACACCCCAGUAACUCUUGUCUGGGAGACUUACUGAAGUGUCAUAGUUUCCUGGUGGAGCAAUGUAUGUAACUGUACCCCUGUUCCGUGGGGGCAGCAUGAUUUUGUGUUUGAUAAGAGAGUUUUCAUUCACCACACCAUAAAUGUCUCCACCAGUGAUGUGGCUGCCAACCUGAAAUCAGAAAGCGUCUAUUAGCCAUAAACAAGAAUUUCAUUUUAAAAAAAGAAUGCUGACAAGGAAUCAUAUAAAAUAACAAUAACUAUCAA